GUAUAAGAAGACACCCAUGUUAUAACUCGACAGUGAGCAUAUGGUGUAUGAAUACAACAUGUGUGCAACGAUAGUGACACCUUACACAAAACGCAGAGUACAGGUACAAGCAAGAUGAUGGACUCAACAGUGAGACAAAAGUUGUCGGUGAUUUCCGUUUGUGGCAUAUUAUUGCUAUAUGUGUUGGGGGAAUCUCCAUACUAGUAGUCGCUUGUGCAUGUGCUUGUAAAUGUCGUAUCCCACGCACGAGGGCCCAGAUUGAGGAAAACAGGAAGAAAAGAAACUUAAGGAAACGAUACAGAUUUGGUGGAAGCAUAUUGUCCAACGGUUCAACUUCAAGAAGCUCCAUUAUUGAAACGCGACGUUUGAGUGUUCGCCGUUUAAGUUCCAAGACUCCUGAGCGCCACCGUACGAACAGAAACUUGUCGGACGAUGAAAUUAUUGAAGAUAUGGAAUCGAUUGUAUAAUAGGAUUAUCUUCUUAUACACCAGCCACACAUGAUGUAUUUUAUGACA